AAACUGCGAUAAGUAGUGUGAAUUGCAUUUAGUGAAUCAUCGAAUCUUUGAACGCACCUUGCACUCACUGGUAUUCCGGUGAGUACGCCUGUUUCAGUAUCAUUGAAAACACACAAUCAAAACAUUUUCUUUGGUUCGAUUGGCUUUGGGUCUAUCAAAAAGUUUGGCUUGUUUCUUACAAGCCAAGCGGCCUGAAAUAUAUUGUCUGGCUAAUUGCAUCGUUGAUGAUCGCUAUUAGACUUUGGCUUUUUUAAAUGAACUGGAGGUUGAUUAACCAGUUUUAGCUUUAGUCAAAUUGUCAUUGUAAAAAAAAUCUCGAUCUUGGCUAGGUGUUUAUAGCCGAAAAUUUUUUUUUGGCUAUAACCGAAACCAAUAUAAUCACAUUUAGUUAUCGAUCUGAAAUCAGGUGGGACUACCCGCUGAACUUAAGC
rnacentral:misc_RNA from 1 species